rnacentral:rRNA from 1 species
GGUGAACGUUGGCGGCGUGCUUAACACAUGCAAGUCGAACGGUGAAAGCGGAGCUUGCUCCGCUGGAUCAGUGGCGAACGGGUGAGUAACACGUGGGCAACCUGCCCCUCACUUCGGGAUAACUCCGGGAAACCGGGGCUAAUACCGGAUAUGACCUCCUUGGGCAUCCUUGGAGGUGGAAAGUUUUUCGGUGAGGGAUGGGCCCGCGGCCUAUCAGCUUGUUGGUGAGGUAGUGGCUCACCAAGGCGACGACGGGUAGCCGGCCUGAGAGGGCGACCGGCCACACUGGGACGGAGACACGGCCCAGACUCCUACGGGAGGCAGCAGUGGGGAAUAUUGCGCAAUGGGCGAAAGCCUGACGCAGCAACGCCGCGUGCGGGAUGACGGCCUUCGGGUUGUAAACCGCUUUCAGCAGGGAAGAAGCCGCAAGGUGACGGUACCUGCAGAAGAAGCACCGGCUAACUACGUGCCAGCCGCCGCAGUAAAAC